CAAUAGCAUAUAUUAAAGUUGUUGCAGUUAAAAAGCUCGUAGUUGGAUUUCGGGGCAGCCUGGCUGGUCCGCCGCAAGGCGAGUACUGGUCAGCCGCCCUUCCUCUCGAAAGCCCCGACUGCUCUUCGUUGCAGUGGUCGGGUAGUUCGGGACGUUUACUUUGAAAAAAUUAGAGUGUUCAAGGCAGGCCUACGCCUGAAUACAUUAGCAUGGAAUAAUGGAAGAGGACCUCGGUCCUAUUUUGUUGGUUUCCAGGGCCGAAGUAAUGAUUAAGAGGGACAGUUGGGGGCAUUCGUAUUUAAUUGUCAGAGGUGAAAUUCUCGGAUUUAUGAAAGACGAACAACUGCGAAAGCAUUUGCCAAGGAUGUUUUCAUUAA
rnacentral:rRNA from 1 species